GCCAGAAUAGUGUGGUGGUUUGAGCAUUGGACUAUGAUUCUGGUGACUAGGGUUCAAAUCCCUACUCAGCCA